rnacentral:tRNA from 1 species
GCGGGGGUUGCCAAGCCAGGUCAAAGGCGCGAGGUUCAGGACCUCGUCCCGUAGGGGUUCAGGGGUUCAAAUCCCCUCCCCCGCACCA